AGGUUUAACCAAGGUGAGCUUCAAUUACAUACAUUUGAUUUGAUUUGAUUUUCUUUUACAUAAUUAACAAAUAGUAGAAUUUUUUUUUAAUAACAUAUGGUGUAUAACUGCAUUAAACAACAGAGUAAUAAGACUUUGUUUUUACUACAACAACAUCCCACUGUAAUAUCAUAAGUGGGGUCUGGGGGUAACGUGUACACAACCUUACCCUUUCCUUCUGAAGGGAGAGAUGUUUUUUUAUAGACCUUCGAACUCAAGUAAAUAGAACUUCUUUUUUUCAAAAAGUUUACUAUAGAUUCCAGAUAUAAUAAUACAAUAUUUAGUUCUAUAUAAUUUAGAGAUUUUUUUUUUCACUUGCUCAAGAAAACAAGAAGUGUGUGGUUAAUUUGCAUACAUAGCCACUUUCAAGACUAUUACAAAAUAAGGCUUCACUUGGACAUUUGGAAAUGAUCAAGGCCUAAUGCAACAAUUGAGGUAUGUCAACAUAUUCUUUUUCCUCUGCACACAACAAAAAAAGAACAUAAGGUAAGAUGACAAGAAAGUUUGAAUUAUUACAAUAAUGUUUAUGGCUACUACAUGUUUCGUAGUACACAGAGGCAAAUUCAGAAUUUUACGUCAUUAAUUAAAUGUCGAUUCUUUUGUGAUUGUUAGUACAAACUUUGUGUAAGUAUGUGUCUUGUUCCAAAAAUAAAUAAAUCAUAUAUAUGUAUAUAUGUUUUGUUGAUUCUGGUUCUAUUGAUCAUGAGCAUAGACCCUUAUAGUCCAGCUCUUCCUCGAACCCCGUACAUCUCAGACCCCAUACAUAGUGGAAGCUUAGUGCAUCAGACUACCCUUUUAUGUACUUCGACAAGUGGCAUUUGAUGUAACAGAACAAGCCAUAUUAUGCACUUUGUGAAAGUUUCUUAUAAAUAGACUUAUAAUACAUGAAGUAAAAUAGCAGGGGAGUUAAUUUAACACUAUAUAUGUCUAUAGUUGCUUCUUUGGUACACAGAGACGGAUUCAGAAUUUGAUACAAAUUCUUUUGUAAUAAUGAAUAUAGACUCUGUAUGUGAAUUCUUUUCAAAUACAAGUAUAUAUGUUAGAAUCCUGAUUGAUGGCAUUUUAUGACAAGACAUAUGUUAUGUACGUGAAUUUAAGUUAUAUGCACUGACAGUAAUAAGUCUUACCAUGCAAGCAUCCUCGUGCUGCUUCCUAAGAUCUUCCUGCUCAUGAUCGAUGCUAGGUGGUCGUGCUAAAAGAUCAUUAUUUUUGUGUUGUUUCCUGUUGACACGAGCCUUCGAAAAUUCUACUGUGUAACUGGCUGCUGCACCACCUCCUCCAGCUGCUUGUUGAUCCCACAUUCCAAAUUGAGGAACAGACCUGUAUCCAUUU
rnacentral:lncRNA from 1 species